rnacentral:rRNA from 1 species
CAGCCCUUGACAUGGGACGUUUGGGCUCCGGAGACGGGGUCCUUCAGUUCGGCUGGCGUCCACACAGGUGCUGCAUGGCUGUCGUCAGCUCGUGUCGUGAGAUGUUGGGUUAAGUCCCGCAACGAGCGCAACCCUCACCUUCAGUUGCCAUCAGGUUAAGCUGGGCACUCUGAAGGAACCGCCGGUGACAAGCCGGAGGAAGGCGGGGAUGACGUCAAGUCCUCAUGGCCCUUAUGGGCUGGGCUACACACGUGCUACAAUGGUGGUGACAGUGGGAUGCUAUGGGGCGACCCUGCGCAAAUCUCAAAAAGCCAUCUCAGUUCGGAUUGUUCUCUGCAACUCGAGAGCAUGAAGCUGGAAUCGCUAGUAAUCGCGGAUCAGCAUGCCGCGGUGAAUA